rnacentral:rRNA from 1 species
GGCGGCAACAGCGGCAGGGAAACGCCCGGACCCAUCCCGAACCCGGAAGCUAAGCCUACCAGCGCCAAUGAUACUA